ensembl:lncRNA
CUCAGGUAGCAUGGUGCAGAAUGUGCUAAGACAAGAGCACAUGACUCAUUUGGACAAGGUUUUACAGGCGACUUCCUUAUCAGAUGCCCUCCCGAUUAACUAACCCAUUGACCCCUGCGGAGGUUUGAAUGAGAAGGACUCCCCCCCCCCCCCCCAGAGGCUUAUAUAUUUGAAUGCUUAGUCCCUGAGGAGUGAAGCUGUUUGAUUGGAUUAGAAGGAUUAGGAGGUGUGGCCUUGUUGGGGGAAGUGUGUCACUAGGGGGUGGGCUUUGAGGUUUCCAAAGCCCAGACUUGCUCUCUGCCUAUGCUGCUCCGGCACCUGCCUGCAUGCUGCUUUGCUCCCUGCCAUGACGAAACGGGGCCAAACCUCUGAAAUGGGUAGCCACCUGUUUCCUGCUGGCCUGGAUUCCUCCGCUGUGUGGAUCUGGUAGUGUGACUCACUGUGCUGCCCGGUGCAGGCCCGGCCCUGGCUCAGAACACGGAUAAGCAUUCCCACAGCGGGCGUGGCUCCAGACCCUACUGCUGCCACUACCUUCUGACAGACCAGCAGACUGGGCGAGGAACCUUCCCAGCCCCUACAGAGCAGAAGGGAGGAGGCCUGAGUAGCGUCCCACCCAGGUGGAGCACCUCUGUGGAGGAGGGUGACUGUUGCUGCCACUUGGAUUGAUACAGGACAGAGCAGGCAGAGGAUUCCGUUCCUUCCCUCGGUCCUCAGGUGCAAAGAUCCAGGGAUCCACAAUCUGUAUGUCUGUCUUCUUCUAUGCCCCACCUUCCAUGCCCUGAGCCUAAGGAGGCAGAAGCCUGGCUUAAGAGACAAUGGUGGAAACGCUGUCUAAUGCAGCCAGCACUGCCUCCUGGUCCCUCUUCACAGAGAGGUUUAGCAAGAGGAGAGAGCCCCAGCCUGCGAACUCUGAUCCCUGGCUUUCUUCAUGUCCGUUACUUGCAACCAGGGCAGCAAGGACUAACCUUGUGUGUGCCAAGGACACAAGCAGAGACUCUAGACUAUUUUAGAUCCCCCUACAUUCAACAUCUUUCCAUCAAUAGGCAAUCGUGACUAACAUUUACCGAUUCCUUAAUGCGUGCCAAGCCUUUUCUCUGUUGGGAAGUGAGAACGUUUACCAUGUUUUACACAUAAGGUGCUGAGGCCCAGGGUGGCUCAGUUAGUAAGUUGACCAGUAAGUAUAUGAACUCUAUGCUCUUAACCCAUGAAGUUGUCCUUCUAGGGUUAGGCUGUGUACUUCAGGGUCUCGAAAAACAACCUAACACUCUGAACCUUGUCUCUGCUCAACGUCAUCCUAUCUGUACCUCAGGUCAUGAUUCUGAGACCUGACCAUUCACGCAACACCCAGCUCUCAACUCCCCAUACUGAGCCUUCCGGGAGCCCUCUGGUGGUAUUUCUCAAAACAUAUGAGAAAACUCUUCUAGUUCAUUCGGAGACUGCUGCCUGCCCACUUUGCAGAAUUCCACAGGGGUGCUUAUGGUGGGGCAAGCUUAUCCCAUUAAAGGUGUGAAGGACUGGGGCCCAGCAAGGCUCAGUCACCCAAGAUUGCAGAGUGUCCAAGCAGGGCUCAGACAUAGAAUUCCCAUGUUGGCUUUCGAUAACUCCAUAGUUGCAGAGUUCCCUGGAACUGUGAAGUCUGGGGUCUGUGGAGAUGCUUAAUCCUCAUCAACACCCCAAAGCUAUUCCAUUCCUGGUUCUUCUUCUUCUCGAGCUUCCAUUUAUUUUGGAAUUGCCAGGGGAGACAUCUUUAACAAAAGAGUUAUAGCCCCCCUCCCCAUGAUUCUGUCGCUGGGAACCCAAGGUGAGCCCCAGGGCUGUAAAUCCGUAGCAUACCCUCAGACGAUGUGAGGCAGGAAUGUUUUGCACACUUGGUUCUGAAACAUCUGUUCCCAGGCUUUGCAGAGGCUCUGGUCUCCAAGUUCUCCCUCACGGUGGGACCCUAUGAGUGAAGGUCCCUUCAGUCUUGAUUUUGCUGUGCAGGCAUCUUUCUUGGGGGCGGGGGCUGAAAUGACCAGUUCUCCUUGCGCACUGAGGAUGCCUUAAGGCUUGAACUGCUGUGAUGAAACACGGUGACCAAAAGCAACUUGGGAAGGAAAGGGUUUAUUUCAGCUUACAACUUAAGUCACACCCCGGCACUGAGGGAAGUCAGGGCAGGAACCAAAGCAGAAACCACAAGAAAAUGUAUUGUCUUGCUCAGUUUGCUUUCUUAUACACUCCAGGACAACUUGCCCAGACAUGGCCCAGUGGGCUGGACCCUUCCACAUCAAUCAAAAUAAAUGCCCAGCAAGCUUGCCUGCGGGCCAAUCUGAUGUGUGUUGGGGGCAGUUCUUCAAUUGAGAUUUCCUGUUCCUAGAUAUGUCUAGGUUUGUGUCAAAUUGGGGUCGAACUGGCACAGAGAACCAAAUGCUUCUCCUGGGUCACCCUCUCUGAGCAAAGGUCCUGAGAGCUAACAGCAAUCUGCCUGUUCUCUGACCAGGCUGUGCUUUCUGGCUAUGAUCUGAAAAAAAAAGAUGCCCCAAGCAGUUUCUUACCUUGGGAUGCAAUCACUUCAGAAUCAUCCUUAUGGAUUGUCACAGUGCGUCACAGUGAUCUCUGCCCUGACCCAGGGCUGGGGAACAGAGCCCAGAAGCCUUGCACACUAUGCCAACAUCAAACUGUGUCUUAUGUACUGGAACUUGGAAUAACUUUGCAGUGUCGCAGUCUUGGGUUCAAACCUUUCUCUGGGGGUGGGAGGGCAGGGUGGGGACAGCCAUGAACCGGUUAACAGCAGUGUGUGUUACUCACCCACUGGCAAGCACUGAGCUGCUUCAAAACAAUCCUGAAUUUCCAUUUCCUCUGGGAUGGGCUCAGUGGAGUUUUUGAAGGUGACCAGACCUUUCCCAUCCUCAGGUUAGGGGUCAGGAUCUGUGAACAAAACACAAUGCAAUUCCGGCUCUCCUGAUGUCCCCAGCUGUGCACUAUCUGCCCCCCAACUCCCUGCCAGAUCUCCUCCGUUUCCCAUUUCCAAGCCCCUCAUGGGCUUCAGGCCCAGCCUGGGAGACCCCUUGGGCCAAUCCUUGGUCCGUCAAGGUCCUGGGAACCUUUGACUUUGAAGCUGGUCUUUGGGAAUUCCAGAGUCUCCAUUAUUGUCCUUCUGGACUCCUGAAGCCCAGCCAACCCAAAGGAAUGGCAGAACUUUUGAAAGCCUCAGCAUUCAUAAUGGGCCAUUCCUUUCCAGAAAUGGUCCCCCAACUCUGCUGAGAGCCUGCCAGGAGACUUGGUGACAGCCUGCUCUUGGCACACACAAUAGACUCGGGUCAGAACAACGUGGAGGGGAGAAAACAUCCAUCUGUCGCUAGGCUGCCCUCCUCCUGGCAUGCCCCUCACCACGUGGCCAACUCUGGGCUCCCAGAGAGGGAGGGGUGCAUUGGGGGCUGGAGGCAGCUGUGGCAGCAAGCAGGAGAGGCGAAGGCUGGAUGCACGG